AUCUUUUACCUGGACCCUCCGACACCCAGCUGGCUCUGCCAGGCAGUUAACACCUCCUCUGGGGACUGUUGUGGAAAUUGGUAUAAAAGGAAAGGAAGCCCUGCUUUUAGUGAGUUUCCAGGAUCUUAAGAUCACGGAGGGUAGGAGAAGUGAGAACUCCAUGGCAGUUGUGAAGUCCUACUAUGGAAGUGGAACAUGGAGCCAAAGUGGACGGUCCCGAGCAGAGCCAGGAGAGGACAGUCCCUGGAAAACUUCGGAAGGUAUUACAGAGACCACAGAUUUCUGAUGCAGUCCUCUGGCUGAAGACCUCUGAGAUAGGGUAAUCCCUUCUCUUUUGAGAGAUGAGGAAAGGCAGAGUCCGAGAAUCAGAUCAGUGAUAGAAGUGGAGUGCCCAUCCUGAGUCUCACCUCUACUCAAGUGCUCGGCAUAUCCCCACAUCCUCAAUUCCUAGUGAGGAACCCCUGGUGAAAGUGAUUGGAUGAAACUACAGGUUUCCAAGAGAGGACAGCCAAGCGCUAAAUACGAGAAUGCACAUAUAACUCUUGGUACAAUGUUUAGCACAUAAUAAGCCUGCAAUACAUGCCAAUCCCUUUGAGCGAAUCUACAUGGCCAGCUUCUGUGCUCAGGGGUGGGAACAGCUGGGCUGUGAUUGGGGCAGGGGGAAAAUAGGUGGGGAGGGGACUUCUUCUCCCUGGGCCUACCAUCUUGACUGAUGUGCUGCGGCCCUUGCCAGAACCCAUCGGUCAGAAUGAAAGUAAAAUGUCAUUGGAAACCUUGCAAUCGACUAUUAAAACUGCUGGGUAUAGUAAAACAGUUGCUUGCCCCAAAUAAGUGACUUAUCAUUGCUGUUGGUUGUCUGCAUUUCUCUUUAAUUAUAGGCCCUCUUUGAACGCUCAAACACAUAGAGCCUUUGUAAACUUGAAGUCCCUCUCUCACACACAGUCCUCCCGUACACAUACUCUCCCUUUCAUUUACAGAGUAUAAACACCCAUCUCUCACUCAUGCACAUAAUGAAUUUCAUCUCCUUGCGUCCCAGUCAAGGAGCGGCCCCACUAGAAUUGUGGGCAUGUGAGCCAUCUUCAUGUUCCAAGGCCCCAGGGGUGCUUCCAAGAGUGGA
rnacentral:lncRNA from 13 species